GGUUGCUUAGUCUAGUGGUUAUGAUUUCUGUCUUACACACAGAAGGUCGCCAGUUCGAUCCUGGCAGCAACCA